rnacentral:rRNA from 1 species
GAUGAACGCUGGCGGCGUGCCUAAUACAUGCAAGUCGAGCGAACGGACGAGGAGCUUGCUUCUCUGAUGUUAGCGGCGGACGGGUGAGUAACACGUGGAUAACCUACCUAUAAGACUGGGAUAACUUCGGGAAACCGGAGCUAAUACCGGAUAAUAUUUUGAACCGCAUGGUUCAAAAGUGAAAGACGGUCUUGCUGUCACUUAUAGAUGGAUCCGCGCUGCAUUAGCUAGUUGGUAAGGUAACGGCUUACCAAGGCAACGAUGCAUAGCCGACCUGAGAGGGUGAUCGGCCACACUGGAACUGGGACAGGGUCCAGACUCCUACGGGAGGCAGCAGAAGGGAAUCUUCCGCAAGGGGCGAAAGCCUGACGGGGCAACGCGGCGGGAGUGAUGAAGGUCUUCGGAUCGAAAAACUCUGUUAUUAGGGAAGAACAUAUGUGUAAGUAACUGUGCACAUCUUGACGGUACCUAAUCAGAAAGCCACGGCUAACUACGUG